rnacentral:rRNA from 1 species
AUUGAACGCUGGCGGCAGGCUUAACACAUGCAAGUCGAACGAGCGGCGGACGGGUGAGUAAUGUAUGGGAAUCUGCCUGAUGGAGGGGGAUAACUACUGGAAACGGUAGCUAAUACCGCAUACCAUCGGAUGUACCCAGAUGGGAUUAGCUUGUAGGUGGGGUAACGGCUCACCUAGGCGACGAUCCCUAGCUGGUCUGAGAGGAUGACCAGCCACACUGGAACUGAGACACGGCCCAGACUCCUACGGGAGGCAGCAGUGGGGAAUAUUGCACAAGGGGCGCAAGCCUGAUGCAGCCAUGCCGCGUGUAUGAAGAAGGCCUUCGGGUUGUAAAGUACUUUCAGCGAGGAGGCGUUACUCGCAGAAGAAGCACCGGCUAACUCCGUGCCAGCAGCCGCGGUAAUAC